rnacentral:tRNA from 1 species
GUCGGCGUAGCUCAGCUGGUUAGAGCAUGGCAUUCAUAACGCCAAGGUCGCUGGUUCAAGUCCAGCCGCCGACA